UCUCCGUAGGUGAACCUGCGGAGGGAUCAUUACUGAGUGAGGGCUCACGCCCGACCUCCAACCCUUUUGUGAACCACCUCGUUGCUUCGGGGGCGACCCUGCCGUUCGCGGCGUGGGGCCCCCGGAGCCCAUCAAACCCUGCGUAACUAAGUCGUCGGAGUUUAAGUAAAUUUAAACAAAACUUUCAACAACGGAUCUCUUGGUUCUGGCAUCGAUGAAGAACGCAGC
rnacentral:misc_RNA from 1 species